GGAAUAUAAAAUUUUAAAACUAUCUCAAACCACUGAUUUGGUGGUUUGAAAACCUGUGGUGAAAUGAUGGUAAUAAAACCAUCAUUUUACAAUCCAGAACUAGCAAUCUUUAGGAACAAUCUAAACAAACAAGGAGUAUAAUCAUACCAUUCAAUAUAAAACCAUAGUAAAUCAUCAUCAAACACGGGGUUAGUGUCAGCAUACGCUCUAGUCAUUUUAGUGUUACUUUCCUGUUCAGCACUUUGAACCUUGGACCAUUUGCUUGGUUUUUUAAUGUAGAACGAAUUUCUAUUUUACAAUAGGAGUGCCAAUGGUUGCCAAAAUUGCUUUGGAAAGUGAGAUUUGAAAUUGGAAUGUAUAUUUUCCAAUAUUUGGUUUGUAUGGAAAAGUUGUAUUCUGGGGUGUUUACGUUCUUGCACUUUGGGUGGGGUGCCACCAUAAUUUUCCCAUCCUAGAGGGUGGAAGUUACAUUUCCAGAUAAAUAAAAUCAUAGAGUAUUGACAUCCCUGCCCUUAAAUAUUAUAAUAUUUAGACCAAAUAUAAUGUAUUUAGUUAUAUUCAGAAUAUUAUGGAAUUUUAUUUCACUUUUUUUGCACUUCUAUAAACUAACCAAAUACAAUAUUCGUGGAUUCCAAUAAAACUUAUUUUUCUAACCAAGAAUAUAAUGUAUAUUGCCA
rnacentral:misc_RNA from 1 species